rnacentral:lncRNA from 1 species
UAUAUGGUCAUACAAAUUUAUGAGGCAAAUUCAUUUGAACAGAUGUAAAAUUUUUCCCAGAUAAUAUUUAAGUGGUAAAAACACAUUGGCAUUGAGUGUGAAGUAAGAUUCUAUGUUUUAAAUUAAAAAUAAAUAUUUACACAAUUUCAUUUGCAAAGGAAAAGAGCUGAAAUAUUCUGAAUUGUAGGUAGUAGUUAUAACUGAAGGGUGGGCCUAUGGGUUUUUAAAAAAACUUUCAUUUUUGCAUUUACUUAUGACCUGAAAUUCUGGGUGUUUUUAGUUGAAACUUCCUGAUGUGUAUUAUGUUUUAUAAUGAGAAAAACUGUGAUAGAUUUAAAUGAAAGUAAACAUUAAAAUUAAAAUCCUAGAAAUAAUUGGGUAUAUUUCUCCACUAAUUUUUAUCCAAUACAAACUUUUUCUUCCUUUAAAGUGGAUUCUCCAGGAAGAUUAUAACCCACCACCAUUCUGGAUCUUCCUUUCAAGUAGCCCUGAAGAUCCAAUCAACUGGGCUCUAAAUCUUUUCUAAUGAACCUCCUCACCGGCAAGGGGCUGGCCUUACCCUCCUUUUGUAACAGCCGGACUCCCGCCCUACCACUGGCUUUGGAUGCUCCAGCCUCUGCCUCACGGGGACGCCGCCUCCAUAGAUGUGGGCACAGGAGGGCCUCAACCCCAGAUCUGAAACCCCAGGUCUAUGCAAACCCAAGGCCUUCCAGGACCUCCGUUCCAGGACAAUGAGGCUCCUCCAUGUCUUCCUCACCGCUCUCUUGAUCCUCUUCCAGACAGCACUAGGGUGCUCAAUUUUGAAAGACCCUGCCAUCUUCGGGGUGGAAUCUGCCUGAAGCAAGGGAUGCCGAGCUGUGAGCCCUUCAGAGGACCCUGCGGGCAUCCACCGUUUGCUGCAAAAUAAAGUCGAGCUGAUGGAGGCAGCCCAGCUGAGGAACCCAGCGAGAGACCAUGAGCAGGUCUCCUCUUGUGCAAAUAAAAGCAGACAGUUCUC